UGUUAAAAUUUUCAUUUAUUUUUAUUGUUAAAAGAUACCAUGGUUGAAAAAUAUCCAAAUAGUGACAUGUGGUAUGUCACAUGUACAUUAUGAUGAUGUACAAGGAUUAACUUUUAACUGUAGAAAUGAAUAGAAUUUUUAAUA
rfam:Gossypium raimondii Chr11_contig_434, whole genome shotgun sequence.